rnacentral:rRNA from 1 species
GUGCCAGCAGCCGCGGUAAUACAGAGGUCCCAAGCGUUGUUCGGAUUCACUGGGCGUAAAGGGUGCGUAGGUGGCUACUUUAAGUUUGAUGUGAAAGCUCCGGGCUCAACCCGGAAAUGGCAUUGAAGACUAUUGAGCUAGAGGUUUGGAGGGGGGACUGGAAUACUUGGUGUAGCAGUGAAAUGCGUAGAUAUCAAGUGGAACACCAGUGGCGAAGGCGAGUCCCUGGACAACACCUGACACUGAGGCACGAAAGCUAGGGGAGCAAACAGGAUUAGAUACCCUGGUAGUCC